rnacentral:rRNA from 1 species
UUCCCCUACGGGGGGCAGCAGUGGGGGAUAUUGCACAAUGGGGGAAACCCUGAUGCAGCGACGCCGCGUGUGGGAAGAUGGUCCUCUGGAUUGUAAACCACUGUCCCCAGGGACGAAGAUGACGGUACCUGGGGAGGAAGCUCCGGCUAACUACGUGCCAGCAGCCGCGGUAAUACGUAGGGAGCAAGCGUUAUCCGGAUUUAUUGGGUGUAAAGGGUGCGUAGACGGGAUAACAAGUUAGUUGUGAAAACCCUCGGCUCAACUGAGGAACUGCAACUAAAACUAUUAUUCUUGAGUGCAGGAGG